rnacentral:lncRNA from 1 species
AUGUCUCAGCUGGGACUGGGGUUGCAGUGUUUUGGUUGCAAGGAGUUUUUUGAGCACCUACAUUGCUGCCAAAAGUUUGGGCUACAUCUGUGGUGCUGCCUCUGUAAGUGUCGACCGUGGUCACUGCUGCCUCCCACGGAUCACUGCCCAGGCCUGUUGGUCAUCCAUGUACGACCAUAUCAUCCCUUUCUGGGACCGGGUUGCCCUACAUCCUGUGCCAUGGCAUGGACUGAGUGGAGCUGAGAAACAGAAGAACCACUGCUGCUGUGGCUAAGUCGCUUCAGUCGUGUCCGACUCUGUGCGACCCAUAGACAGCAGCCCACCAGGCUCCCCCAUCCCUGGGAUUCUCCAGGCAAGAACACUGGGGUGGGUUGCCAUUUCCUUCUCCAAUGCGUGAAAGUGAAAAGUGAAAGUGAAGUCGCUUGGUCGUGUCCGACCCUCAGCGACCCCAUGGACUGCAGCCUUCCAGCCUCCUCUGUCCAUGGGAUUUUCCAGGCAAGAGUACUGGAGUGGGGUGCCAUUGCCUUCUCCAACAAGAACCACAGAUGAUUCCAAAGCAUGUUGUUAACAACAGUUCCUUUACUGACUGUGGUAUCUUCUCUGCUUAUUUUUUCAGACACUCUAAGAAGUCGUCUAUUUAUCUUUGAUAGUAAAUAACUAAGAGGAAAAUGAGCUUAUCUUCGUCAAGUGCUCAAGUGCUACUGAAUUAUUGAGGAGUGUCGUGGCUCUAUAUGUAGAGGACAGUUGUACUUACAUAAUUUGUACAGUUAUAGUUACAUAUAGAUAUGCAAUUAUCUAUCAUAAACAAAAAAAGCUAUUUUCUGUGUAGGGAAACUUUUAUCCUUAAAUAUAAUAUGAGCUUUGAUGAUAUUGAAUGCAUUUCAAAAACUGUAACUGAAACUGCAUAGUAAAGAUGUGACUAAAGUUUCUGGUUUCUUUGUUGUCCAUUUUCAUAAGACUUUUCCUAAACACCAUCUGGGAUAUUCCUAGGUGGCUCAGUGGUAGGAGGUGCAGAUUCAAUCCCUGGGUCGGGAAGAGCCCCUUGAGGAAGAAAUGGCAAUCCUUUUCAGUAUCCUUGCCUGGAAAAUUCCAUGGACAGAGGAGCCUGGCGGGCUACAGUCCAUGGGGUCCCAAAGAGUCAGAUAUGACUAAGGAGCUGAGCACACACACCCUGAAGCACCCCAUGAACAGGGCUACCAUCUAUAACAUCUUUGGAAGAAUUUGCAGUUCACAGUUCUUAAUUGAAAAGAGUGUUUACUCUAAUUUAUCUGUUCUUGGGCACUAAAAAUGUUUAAAGCUUUAUAAUGUAAAGCUUAUAAUUUUAACCAUUUGUAAGUGGACAGUUGUGUGACAUGGUGUAUUUUCACACUGUUGAGCAAUCGUCACCUCAUCCAUCUCCUGAACAUUUUUCUCUUCCCAGCUGAAACCCCAUAACCAUUAGCAUUAACUUCCCACCCCCAUGCUCACUGCAUACCCUGACAAUCAUCUGUCUACUUUGUGUCUCCAUGAACUCGAGUACUCUCUGUAACUCAUAUAAGCAGAAUCAUGAUAUUUAUCCUUUUGUGGCUGAUUUAUUUCACUUAGCAUGGUGUCUUCAUGCUCAUCCAUGUAGUAGCAUGUGUCAGAAUUUUCUUCCCUUUUAAGACUGAACAAUAUUUCAUUGGUUAUGUAUACUGUGUUUUGUUUAUUCAUUUACUUUGGACUCCUGUAUUAAUUCCACCUUUUGGCUAUUGUGAAUAAUGCUGCUAUUGAUAUGGGUGUACAAAUAUUAGCUUGGAUAUCUGCUUUUAAUCCUUUUAAUUUAACUUUAAUAACCACAAGUGGAAUUUCUGGAUCACAGGGAAAUUCCAGUUUUAAUUUUUUGAGUACUCACCAUACCAUUUUCCACAGUAGUUACACCAUUUUGCAUUCCCACCAGUAAUACACUAAGGUUUCAGUUUCUUUAUAUUUUUAAUAACCCUUGUGACUUUGUUUUUUUUUUUUUAAUAAAAAUUGUGCUCAUGAGUGUAAAAGGGUAUUU